rnacentral:miRNA from 1 species
UCGGACCAGGCUUCGUUCCUC